GACUCGGGGUGCUGCCACAAAAGUGGUUUGGCUGAGAUAUACCCGUAUUACCUGAUCUGGAUUAUACCAGCGUAGGGAAGU
rnacentral:ncRNA from 1 species